GAUGAACGCUGGCGGCGUGCCUAAUACAUGCAAGUCGAGCGAACAGACGAGGAGCUUGCUCCUCUGACGUUAGCGGCGGACGGGUGAGUAACACGUGGAUAACCUACCUAUAAGACUGGGAUAACUUCGGGAAACCGGAGCUAAUACCGGAUAAUAUAUUGAACCGCAUGGUUCAAUAGUGAAAGACGGUUUUGCUGUCACUUAUAGAUGGAUCCGCGCCGCAUUAGCUAGUUGGUAAGGUAACGGCUUACCAAGGCGACGAUGCGUAGCCGACCUGAGAGGGGGAUCGGCCAAACUGGAACUGAGACACGGUCCAGACUCCUACGGGAGGCAGCAGUAGGGAAUCUUCCGCAAUGGGCGAAAGCCUGACGGAGAAACGCCGCGUGAGUGAUGAAGGUCUUCGGAUCGUAAAACUCUGUUAUUAGGGAAGAACAAAUGUGUAAGUAACUAUGCACGUCUUGACGGUACCUAAUCAGAAAGCCACGGCUAACUACGU
rnacentral:rRNA from 1 species